rnacentral:sRNA from 1 species
GAGUGAGGGAGUGACUAGUGACAGAGUGAGGGAGUGACUAGUGACAGAGGGAGGUAGUGAUUAGUGACAGAGUGAGGGAGGGGGUGACUGUCACUAGUCAACCCAUCCCUCUCUCUGUCACUAGUCACUCCCUCCCUAACUCUGUCACUAAUCACCCCCUCUGUCCCUAGUCACCCCCUUCCUCACUCUGUCACCCCAUCCCUCUCUCUGUCACUAGUCACCCCAUCCCUCUCUCUGUCACUAGUCACCCCAUCCCUCUCUCUGUCACUAGUCUCUCCCUCCCUAACUC